rnacentral:rRNA from 1 species
CCUACGGGAGGCAGCAGUAAGGAAUAUUGGUCAAUGGACGAAAGUCUGAACCAGCCAUGCCGCGUGAAGGAUGAAGGCCCUCUGGGUUGUAAACUUCUUUUAUCUGGGACGAAAAAAGGGAAUUCUUUCCCACUUGACGGUACCAGAGGAAUAAGCACCGGCUAACUCCGUGCCAGCAGCCGCGGUAAUACGGAGGGUGCAAGCGUUAUCCGGAUUUACUGGGUUUAAAGGGUGCGUAGGUGGGUAGGUAAGUCAGUGGUGAAAUCUCCGAGCUUAACUCGGAAACUGCCAUUGAUACUAUCUAUCUUGAAUAUCCUGGAGGUGAGCGGAAUAUGUCAUGUAGCGGUGAAAUGCUUAGAUAUGACAUAGAACACCAAUUGCGAAGGCAGCUCACUACGGGAUUAUUGACACUGAGGCACGAAAGCGUGGGGAUCAAACAGGAUUAGAUACCCUGGUAGUCCACGCCCUAAACGAUGGAUACUCGACAUACGCGAUACACUGUGUGUGUCUGAGCGAAAGCAUUAAGUAUCCACCUGGGAAGUACGAUCGCAAGAUUGAACUCAAAGGAAUUGACGG